rnacentral:rRNA from 1 species
GUGUGUGUUCAUGAGAGCUAGUCUCGAGUGUUCACAACCUCCCCCCUCCAAUCGGUGUAGUGGGGUAUUCACUUACUCUACUACUCCUUUGGUCGUUUACUGUGAGAAAAUUAGAGUGUUCAAAGCGGGCGUUUGUUUGAAUAGAUUAGCAUGGAAUAAUGAUUGAAGGCUUUCGUGUUCGAUUUGAUUGGUUUGUUCAUGGAAGCAAGGUUAAAAGGAACAGUUGGGGGUAUUCAUAUUCACUAGUUAGAGGUGAAAUUCUCGGAUUUAUGGAAGAUGAACAGGUGCGAAAGCAUUUACCAAGGAUGUUUUCAUUAAUCAAGAACGAAAGCUAGGGGAUCGAAGAGGAUUAGAUACCCUCGUAGUCUUAGCUAUAAACGAUACCGACUAGGGGUUAGUAGAGGUCAAUGUGUCUCUAUUAGUA